AAUUAACACAACCAUGAGUUUCCGUGUCUAACUUUAAUCAUCCGUCUUAUUUGAAAUUUUUUUAUAAAUACUAUUUUUGUUGUCAUGAGAUGAUAAAACAUGAAUAGAAUUUUAUGCGUGACUUAUGUUUUUUUUUAAUUUUUUCUUAAAUAAGACGGAUGGUCAAAGUUGGGAAAAAAACUAUAACUGCACUUAAA
rfam:Oryza meridionalis cultivar OR44 (W2112) chromosome 2, whole genome shotgun sequence.